UAAAAUUGAUAGUUAAUUUUGAAACAUUCUACAUAUGAUGAAUUUUUUAAAAUUCAAAUGAUCAAUCUCUUGACACACCUUAAAAAUGUGUUUCCACACUUUCACAUUAGAAGAAGAGAUAAAACAUAAAACACAUGAGGAACUAUGGGAAGUUUGUGUCAUACAAUAAUAUUUCAACUCUAGUUGUAAGUUAAGAUAAAAAAGAGUCUCCACCCUUCUUAAUUAUAAUAUCAAUUUCUAUCGUGACAUCUUUGAUAAUAAAACAUUAUAACAAGAUUUCACACUAAACUCAAUAACUCUAUUCGAUAGCCAAAUCCACCUAUCCAACACGCAAAAUAUCCAUAUCUUUUAAAACAUUUAAUAGACAUGAUUAAGUAUGUAAUAGACAAAUACAUACAUGAUUAAGUAUAUCAAUGGGGUGGGGCAAGUUUGCCUCCCCACC
rnacentral:lncRNA from 1 species